UUGUUUUCGAAUUUUUUCAUGCAUCAAAGCUCGUUAAGACUAGAUGGGGUAUCCCUACAUAGCGGGUGGGACCCACGGCGAAUGGUUCAUCAAGUCUUCAAAAAAGAAUAUAUACGACUGCAUUGCAUAUACUAACGGAUGCGAUCAUACCAGCACUAAUGCACCGGAUUCCAUCAGAACUCCGCAGUUAAGCGUGCUUGGGCGAGAGUAGUACUAGGAUGGGUGACCUCCCGGGAAGUCCUCGUGUUGCAUCCCUCUUUUAUGUUUAACCUUUUUUUUUUGGUUAAACUUUAUGACUCCAUAACUUCUACACCGA
rnacentral:rRNA from 1 species